UACGGAGGGAGCUAGCGUUGUUCGGAUAUACUGGGCGUAAAGCGCACGUAGGCGGCGUCGUAAGUCAGGGGUGAAAUCCCGGAGCUCAACUCCGGAACUGCCCUUGAAACUGCAAUGCUAGAAUCUUGGAGAGGCGAGUGGAAUUCCGAGUGUAGAGGUGAAAUUCGUAGAUAUUCGCAAGAACACCAGUGGCGAAGGCGGCUCACUGGCCCGAUACUGACGCUGAGGCACGAAAGCGUGGGGAGCAAACAGG
rnacentral:rRNA from 1 species